GACGAACGCUGGCGGCGUGCUUAACACAUGCAAGUCGAACGGAAAGGCCCUGCUUUUGUGGGGUGCUCGAGUGGCGAACGGGUGAGUAACACGUGAGUAACCUGCCCUUGACUUUGGGAUAACUUCAGGAAACUGGGGCUAAUACCGGAUAGGAGCUCCUGCUGCAUGGUGGGGGUUGGAAAGUUUCGGCGGUUGGGGCUGGACUCGCGGCUUAUCAGCUUGUUGGUGGGGUAGUGGCUUACCAAGGCUUUGACGGGUAGCCGGCCUGGGAGGGUGACCGGCCACAUUGGGACUGAGAUACGGCCCAGACUCCUACGGGAGGCAGCAGUGGGGAAUAUUGCACAAUGGGCGGAAGCCUGAUGCAGCAACGCCGCGUGCGGGAUGACGGCCUUCGGGUUGUAAACCGCUUUCGCCUGUGACGAAGCGUGAGUGACGGUAAUGAGUAAAGAAGCACCGGCUAACUACGUG
rnacentral:rRNA from 1 species